rnacentral:tRNA from 1 species
GGCCCUCUGGCGCAACGGUAGCGCAUUCGACUCCAGCCAUCAGUUGAAGUCAUCGAAAGGUUAUCCGUUCGAAUCGGGUGGGGGUCA